GACUUCCUACACUGCUCGCCAGGAAAUCUGGGUGUGUCCUUUUUAAGAGAAGCGAAGCCUCGCCCUCUCCUUGGAGACUUGUAACUCUUAUUUCCCACCGCCCCUGACCAAGUCACUAGCCUGUCGUCGGCCACUAAUAAGUGACUUACGCUCUGAGAGGCGAUAAGUGGUGGCCGUAGCGGAAACUACAAUACCCAGAAGUCUCUACGGUCCGGACGGCAGUGGCGGUGGCGACUGAACCAAUGAGGGCUUAGGAGAGGGGCGCAUACAGCGCGCGCAUCGUUGGGGCGGGACUGCCGGCGUCCCUUACGGUUAUUUUGGUCGUUUUAGUGUUUGUCACCGGCUCAACGCCUCAGAGGCGUUUCGUGGGCAUUGUGGUGAGCGAGCAGAAAAGUGCGAGGAGAGUUGUCCCGGCUGCACGGAGUCGGCUGUGAGGCCCGACUGAGCGAGCCCAUUGGUGACGGCGGCGCCCUGUUCCCGCCCCGUCGCCCAGCUCCGGUCCCGCUUUCCCUACAGGUCGGUGGCGGGGGCCGCGGACUCAGGGAACACAGAGCCAGGUGUGUCGCCUGGAGCGGCGACAUGAGCAGCUAAAAGCUAUGGAAGAUUGUGAAGGGACGGCGGUGAGGAGCGGUGAACAUAAAGAUCUGGAAGCUGAGGCAGGGAGCAGGAUUGGCGAUAUCAAAGGAGUGGAGAGUGCGGACUGGACCAGGGCAGGCCUGGGGACCAAACUGAGGAGAGUCUUAAGGUUGUUAUUUCAGAUGGGAGGGAAGGCAUAGGGAGCGGGUGUUGGCAUCCCCUCUGUUCCCUCCAGAAAAGAGAGGACCCGACAUAGGAGGGACGCUGGCCUGUGUCUGUAGAAAGGGAGGCCUCAAUGGGGUAAGGAGUCUGCCAGUUGGCUGGUGCAGAUUCUCCACUUGCAGACCUUGCUAACCCUCAAGGCCACUCCGUAUGGAACAACGGAAAUGUCGACCAGGCUGGUGGAGCCACUGGGUCCAAGACCAGGUUACUGCUGCCUCACCUCCUUCAGCCCCAGAGCAAGAGAUGUGAUCCACUGCUUCAGUCAGGGUCCCCCAACAAGCUCCCCUCAGAGAAUUAUGUUGCAGGCAGGCCUGGUUGCUGAAGGGACUAGUAGCUGACCUGUCUGCUCAGUCUCUCCCUACAACUCAUUAACUUAAGAUUAUAUAAAAUGUAUUGAUUUCAUCACUAAUUAACCAAUAUCCCUAUCAAUAUGUACACACAGGUAGGCAAUUAGAAGUGAGCCUACUUAAUAAGUUCAGUUUAUGCUAGCACUUUAUAAUUGGCUUGACAUUAAUUUCCUUCUAAGUGUUUGCUUACAAUGUAGUUUUAGAUAUGAUAUUCUGUGAAACCUUAAAAAGCAGCAAAAAUAAGACCCCAAAAUUUAAAACCCUACCACUUCAUCUGCACUGAAAAUAUAUGGAAACUCAAUCCUAUGCACAGCAAUAGCUGACAUAGUAAUAGCAUACUGUGUAAUGCAACAAUACAUAGUAUGCAUUCCUUACAUUUGAUACCAAUUUGAGCCCUAUGAAGUCAGAAGCAUUCUUAACCCCCAUAAGCAUUUUUUUUUCCUUAGGUUCAGGGAGAUUUGGUCCUUCUCCAAGGUCACC